rnacentral:tRNA from 1 species
GUGUAAGUGCAUAGUGGUUUGAGUGUUGGACUAGGACUCUGGAGACCAGGGUUCGAUUCCCAGCUCGGCCA